rnacentral:tRNA from 1 species
GGUGGCUCAGUGGUAGAGCACUUGCCUUGCAUGCAUGAGGCCCUGGGUGUGAGUCCUCAGCACCA